GCAGAGAUUCACAGAAACACGUCAGUCACACAUUCAGACCCAUCACUGAAGUGGUUCCUUCAUAUAAGGAGGAGCUCAAUACAGCACUGAAGUCCUUACAGGAGAAACUUAAAAAGAGAGAAAAAA